CAGAGUCCAGUUCAUGGUUUCUCAAAUUCAGCACUAGUGACAUUUUGGGCCGCAUCAUUCUUUGUUGUGGGGGCUGUCCUGUGAAUUGUAGGAUGUUGAGCAGCAUCCCUGGCCUCUACC